AACGAACGCUGGCGGCAGGCCUAACACAUGCAAGUCGAACGCCCGUAGCAAUACGGGAGUGGCAGACGGGUGAGUAACGCGUGGGAACGUGCCCUUCGGUUCGGAGUAACUCAGGGAAACUUGAGCUAAUACCGGAUACGUCCGUAAGGAGAAAGAUUUAUCGCCGAAGGAUCGGCCCGCGUCGGAUUAGCUAGUUGGUGA
rnacentral:rRNA from 1 species